ACUGGGAGCUGCCUGCAGAGAUGGACAAGCAGGCUCUGAAGCAAUUCCCCAGAGCCUCACCAUUCCUGUUUACUGCUGACCCAGCCUAUUAGGAGCAAAUUACUUCCUGUGCUGCCUGUGGAGCGUGGCCUUGAGAGCCAGGGCAGGGAUGGAAACAGGGCUCUUCUCAGGAUUGAAUGAAGCAAAAGUCUUUGAGCCAGGCAUGGUAGCGCACACCUGUAAUCCCAGAUGCUCAGGAUGCUCAGGAACUCCAGAAGCUGAGGCAGGAGGAUCGCAAGUU
rnacentral:lncRNA from 1 species